rnacentral:rRNA from 1 species
UACGGAGGAGGCAAGCGUUAUCCGGAAUUAUUGGGCGUAAAGCGUCCGUAGGUGGUUUUGUCAGUCUGCUGUCAAAGCACAGGGCUUAACCCUGUAAAGGCAGUGGAAACUACAAGACUAGAGUGCAGUAGGGGCAGAGGGAAUUCCCAGUGUAGCGGUGAAAUGCGUAGAGAUUGGGAAGAACACCCGUGGCGAAAGCGCUCUGCUGGACUGCAACUGACAUUGAGGGACGAAAGCUAGGGGAGCGAAUGGG